ensembl:lncRNA
UUUUCAUGGUCAAAACGAGAGAUCAGGUGGCCGAUCUUAAAAUAAAUCAAUAUUGAUUUUUUUUAUAGAGCGUUAAAGUUUUGCGAAGCCAGGAGGCGGGACUACUUGAUUGACAGUCUGGUCUGGAAUGAUUGACAGGUCCUAUGGAGGAGGCAGCAGAGACUCUGCUCUCCUCGUUUGGAUUAAUUCUGAUAUAAUAACUGUUGGUUUAUUUAUCGGGGAGCAGAACAUUUUCCACAGAGAGUUUUCCUGCCCGUUGGCUUGUUUUAACAAGUUUUCUGCCUUCGGGCUGAUCCUACCAGCAGACACUGAAAGGACUCUGAUAGUUCGGUGUCUCAUGUUCACUGUAAGGAUCUUCUGAGUGAAGCUAGCAGAAGGAAAACCUCAUCUGGUUGUGAAGAAGGAGACUGAAUGGACGGCAUCGUCCCUCUCUAUCUCCCCACACAUCCACCAACCACUGGAACACAUCUCCAAAGUUCUGCCGGGCCAGCUCAGCUUCCCCUCAGAAGAAGUGCUGCCACCUGCCAGAUGAAGGAGCCUUUUGAGAGGCAGCUGGCAUCGUGAUUGGACUGUACUUUGGUCUGUUCCAAUCCAGCUUCAGCUCCAGAGACGGCAGGCGGGACGAGUCAACGGAGGCCGGGUGGACGAAGGCAUGCAGCUGAGUACAAUCCAGAAAACAACAGAGGAGGAGUGCAGCGGCCUAGUGGCAAAACAAACAGAGUAGCAUUGUAUGUCUCUUAGAAAACAUCAUAGUAUAGCCUUUGGUAUGAAAAAACGGC